rnacentral:lncRNA from 1 species
UUUUUUUUUUUUUUUAUGGGAGUAUUUAAGCACUGUUGAUUCAAAUUGGUGUCUCUGGGCCCUUGUUUCCAAAUUGCAUUCAUUAAAUGUUUUCAGGUGCGAUCAAUAUUUUUUUGAAAGUCUCCAAAUUUAGUUUGUAAAAUUGCAUGCUUGGAUUGUGGAGCAAUUAUCCUCUCAUAUGAUGAGAAAUAUUUUAACUCUUUCCGAAGACCACACACAAAGAGAAGGAAGACAUCCGCAUUAAAAGGUGGGGCUUUCUCUCUUUGUUUAAGGAAAAGAAAUAUCCCUUUCAUUUGGGGCUAUAUAAGCAUAAACCCAUACUCCUUCUUUUUUUCUCAGAGCCUGCAUGUCAACGUUCUCUCACACGGCUGGCGGCCGAUGCCCCUUCCUAAAGCACUGUGCACCCCCCUCCCCACCCCACCCGCCUUCCCAGCCCAGGUCAGCCUCUCUUCAAUGUUAACAGCUUCCUACCUGGCCAGCACAGGAACUAGUCGUCCUCCCACCCUCCUCCCUGGAGCCAGGCUGACUGCUCUAGUGGGAAAAUCUGAUCCUCUCCCUGUCGUGCUGACAUCUCCAGGGGGUCCCCGCAGCCUGGAUCGUGGAACCCACACUUCUUAACCUAAGCUUCCAGAGCCUUUGGGGUUGAGGCCCUUGUCUGGUCUUAGCCACAGCUCUCCCCAUGCCCAUGCUCUGUCUUCCCCGGGAGCCUGAAAUAACUUCUGGUCGGUGCACACACACUGCCAGCCUCUCAGCCUUGCCCGCGUGCUGCCCCCGUUCCCCUGGCUGACACUUUCCCCACUGCAUGCCCACCUCCUACCUUGUCGCCUCAUGAAAACGGCUCAUCCUUCAAGACUUCGGGGUCACCGCCUCUGUGAGGCUGUCCUUGAUCUAUGCGGCCCAUGGCUCUGCGGGCCCCCCUAGCAUCUUGUGUGUUUUUGGGUUUUUUUUAAAAAGAUUUUAUUUAUUUAUUCAUGAGAGACACCGAAAGAGAGGCAGAGACACAGGCAGAGGGAGAAGCAGGCUCCAUGCAGGGAGCCCCAUGUGGGGCUUGAUUCCGGGAAUCCAGGGUCACGCCCUGAGCCCAAGGCAGACGCUCAACCCCUGGGCCCCCCAGGUGCCCCGUCCCCAUAGCACCUUAGGAACACCCAGCCUAACUGUAAGAGCUGACAUCCUUGAUUGUCAUCAAGGAUAGGUGUGUAGAUA